AUUGAACGCUGGCGGCAGGCUUAACACAUGCAAGUCGAGCGGAGAAGGGUAGCUUGCUACCUGACCUAGCGGCGGACGGGUGAGUAAUGCUUAGGAAUCUGCCUAUUAGUGGGGGACAACAUUCCGAAAGGAAUGCUAAUACCGCAUACGCCCUACGGGGGAAAGCAGGGGAUCUUCGGACCUUGCGCUAAUAGAUGAGCCUAAGUCAGAUUAGCUAGUUGGUGGGGUAAAGGCCUACCAAGGCGACGAUCUGUAGCGGGUCUGAGAGGAUGAUCCGCCACACUGGGACUGAGACACGGCCCAGACUCCUACGGGAGGCAGCAGUGGGGAAUAUUGGACAAUGGGCGAAAGCCUGAUCCAGCCAUGCCGCGUGUGUGAAGAAGGCCUUUUGGUUGUAAAGCACUUUAAGCGAGGAGGAGGCUACCGAGAUUAAUACUCUUGGAUAGUGGACGUUACUCGCAGAAUAAGCACCGGCUAACUCUGUGCCAGCCGCCGCAGUAACAC
rnacentral:rRNA from 1 species